rnacentral:tRNA from 2 species
GCGGGCGUGGUGAAAUUGGUAAACACAAGGGACUUAAAAUCCCUCGGCUUCGGCCUUGCCGGUUCAAGUCCGGCCGCCCGCACCA